rnacentral:rRNA from 1 species
GAUAAACGCUGGCGGCGUGCCUAACACAUGCAAGUCGAACGCUCUCGGGAUGUCACAGUCUCGAGGGAGUGGCGGACGGGUGAGGAACACGUGGGUUAUCUACCUUGAGGUGAGGAAUACCGGCGAGAAAUCGCCGACAAUACCGCAUGCGUUUGGGAAACCAAACAAAGCUCGCGGCAACGCGAGCGCCCCAAGAUGAGCCUGCGCCCGAUUAGCUUCGUUGGUGGGGUAAAAGCCUACCAAGGCGACGAUCGGUAGCUGGUCUGAGAGGACGAUCAGCCACACUGGGAUUGAGAACGGCCCAGACUCCUACGGGGGGCAGCAGUGAGGAAUUUUCGUCAAUGGGGGCAACCCUGAACGAGCAACGCCGCGUGCAGGAAGAAGGUUUUCGGAUCGUAAACUGCUUUUCUUGGGGAAGAGUUGUGGACGGUACCCAAGGAAGAAGCCCCGGCUAACUACGUGCCAGCAGCCGCCGCAGUAA